rnacentral:tRNA from 1 species
GCAGUGCGUGGCCAAAUGGUUACGCUGUCCGAAUUGUAAGCGGAUGAUUCUGGGUUCGAUUCCCAUCUGCUGCA